rnacentral:piRNA from 1 species
ACCUAAUGAUGUUCUUCAAGGUUGUAGACAA